GACGAACGCUGGCGGCGUGCUUAACACAUGCAAGUCGAACGGUAAGGCCCUUCGGGGUACACGAGUGGCGAACGGGUGAGUAACACGUGGGUGAUCUGCCCUGCACUUCGGGAUAAGCCUGGGAAACUGGGUCUAAUACCGGAUAGGACUCCUGGCUUCAUGGUUGGGGGUGGAAAGCUUUUGCGGUGUGGGGUGGGCCCGCGGCCUGUCAGCUUGUUGGUGGGGUAAUGGCCUACCAAGGCUACGACGGGUAGCCGGCCUGAGAGGGUGACGGGUCACACUGGGACAGAGAUACGGCCCAGAGUCCUACGGGUGGCAGCAGUGGGGAAUAUUGCACAAUGUGCGCAAGCCUGAUGCAGCGACGCCGCGUGAGGGAUGACGGCCUUCGGGUUGUAAACCUCUUUCAGCUAUGACGAAGCGCAAGUGACGGUAGUAGCAGAAGAAGGACCGGCCAACUACAUGCCAGCAGCCGCGGUAA
rnacentral:rRNA from 1 species